rnacentral:rRNA from 1 species
CAGAUUCCUACGGGAGGCAGCAGUGGGGAAUAUUGCACAAUGGGCGGAAGCCUGAUGCAGCAACGCCGCGUGCGGGAUGACGGCCUUCGGGUUGUAAACCGCUUUCGCCUGUGACGAAGCGUGAGUGACGGUAAUGGGUAAAGAAGCACCGGCUAACUACGUGCCAGCAGCCGCGGUGAUACGUAGGGUGCGAGCGUUGUCCGGAUUUAUUGAGCGUAAAGGGCUCGUAGGUGGUUGAUCGCGUCGGAAGUGUAAUCUUGGGGCUUAACCCUGAGCGUGCUUUCGAUACGGGUUGACUUGAGGAAGGUAGGGGAGAAUGGAAUUCCUGGUGGAGCGGUGGAAUGCGCAGAUAUCAGGAGGAACACCAGUGGCGAAGGCGGUUCUCUGGGCCUUUCCUGACGCUGAGGAGCGAAAGCGUGGGGAGCGAACAGGCUUAGAUACCCUGGUAGUCCACGCUGUAAACGGUGGGUACUAGGUGUGGGGUCCAUUCCACGGGUUCCGUGCCGUAGCUAACGCUUUAAGUACCCCGCCUGGGGAGUACGGCCGCAAGGCUAAAACUCAAAGGAAUUGACGGGGCCCCGCACAAGCGGCGGAGCAUGCGGAUUAAUUCGAUGCAACGCGUAGAACCUUACCUGGGUUUGACAUGGAUCGGGGGCGCUCAGAGAUGGGUGUGCCUCUUUUGGGGUCGGUUCACAGGUGGUGCAUGGCUGUCGUCAGCUCGUGUCGUGAGAUGUUGGGUUAAGUCCCGCAACGAGCGCAACCCUUGUUCACUGUUGCCAGCACGUUAUGGUGGGGACUCAGUGGAGACCGCCGGGGUCAACUCGGAGGAAAGUGGGGAUGACGUCAAGUCAUCAUGCCCCUUAUGUCCAGGGCUUCACGCAUGCUACAAUGGCUGGUACAGAGAGUGGCGAGCCUGUGAGGGUGAGCGAAUCUCGGAAAGCCGGUCUCAGUUCGGAUUGGGGUCUGCAACUCGACCUCAUGAAGUCGGAGUCGCUAGUAAUCGCAGAUCAGCAACGCUGCGGUGAAUACGUUCCCGGGCCUUGUACACACCGCC